rnacentral:tRNA from 1 species
GCGAGAGUAGCUCAGUUGGUAGAGCUUCAGCCUUCCAAGCUGAAUGUCGCCGGUUCGAACCCGGUCUCUCGCUCGA